AGUCAUGAUAUGCGAUACUUGGUGUGAAUUGCAGAAUCCCGCGAACCAUCGAGUCUUUGAAUACAAAUUGCGCCCGAGGCCAUCUGGUCGAGGGCACACCUGCUUGGGCGUCACACCAAACGACGCUCCGCCAACCCUCCACCUGAACGGUCGGUGGGAAAGGACGCGGCCUCUGGCCCCCCGCGCCUCUGUGAGCGGUGGGCCGAAGAUGUGGCUGCCGAUGUCGCAUGUCGGGCACAGCGCGUGGUGGGCGGCCUCGCUUCUCUUGACGCAUUGCACCUCGUCACAUGUCGGCAUAUCGGCCAGAAGGACCGAAGAAUCCCAGGACCCCAGCAGGAGGGGACUCGGACUGCGACUCUAGGUCAGGCGGGAACCCCUGCCAAGUUUAAGCAUAUAAAUAAGCGGAGGAGAAGAAACUUACAUGUAUUCCCCUAGUAACGGGAGCGAACCAGGUUUUUCCCA
rnacentral:rRNA from 1 species